AAGUCGUAACAAGGUUUCCGUAGGUGAACCUGCGGAAGGAUCAUUACCAAACACACAAAAGUGUAGUGGAUUUAGUAGGCGUUGUUCUUUUGUGUGUAUGUACGUACGCACACUAGACGGCGUCAACUUUAUGCUAGUUGUAGUGGUAGUGUUGUUGUUGUGAUAAAUGUGAUGAAUGUCGCUAGUCGUCAGACUAAUGGCACACGCACACGCACACACACACCACCACCACCACAACACAACUGGCAACUAGAACCAUAUUAGUUUACUUCAAUACAAAUUGAUAUACAACUUUUAACAAUGGAUCUCUAGGCUCUU
rnacentral:misc_RNA from 1 species